rnacentral:snRNA from 11 species
AUACUUACCUGGCUUGGAGGUUACCUUGAUCAAGAAAGAGGUUCGUCCAGGGUGAGGCUCUUCCCUUACGCUUUUUAUAGGACUUAAAGUUGGCACGUACCUUACUGUUUGGUAUUGAUAUCUGAAUUAUUCAGACCCGUCUUCAGCAAAUUGUCAAUGUAUUAUCGUUCGCGAACUUGUC